rnacentral:rRNA from 1 species
UCCAGACUCCUACGGGAGGCAGCAGUGGGGGAUAUUGCACAAUGGGGGAAACCCUGAUGCAGCGACGCCGCGUGGGCGAAGAAGUAUUUCGGUAUGUAAAGCCCUAUCAGCAGGGAAGAAGAAAUGACGGUACCUGAGUAAGAAGCACCGGCUAAAUACGUGCCAGCAGCCGCGGUAAUACGUAUGGUGCAAGCGUUAUCCGGAUUUACUGGGUGUAAAGGGAGCGUAGACGGCUGUGCAAGCCAGAUGUGAAAGCCCGGGGCUCAACCCCGGGACUGCAUUUGGAACUGCGUGGCUUGAGUGUCGGAGAGGCAGGCGGAAUUCCUAGUGUAGCGGUGAAAUGCGUAGAUAUUAGGAGGAACACCAGUGGCGAAGGCGGCCUGCUGGACGAUGACUGACGUUGAGGCUCGAAAGCGUGGGGAGCAAACAGGAUUAGAUACCCCUGUAGU